CCCACUUGCACCAAAUACAAAUUAGCAAAUCAAUGAAAGCCAAAGACUGUGUGGUCAGCUGUCUGGCCAAUGGGCAAUAACACAGUUUCACCUCUGCUCCCCCUUCAAAGUUGUAAGCCCUUGUAAAAGGGAAAGGACCUGCUCUUUGGCGAGCCUGAUUCUUAAGGCAUGAGCCUGCUGCAGCUCCCAGCGGAAUGAAAAGCCACUUCCUUUCUCAGUUCGGUGUUCGAGAGGUUUUGUCUGCUGCAUGUCCUGCUACGUUUUGGUUCCCUGAUCGGGAAGCGAGUUUUCGGUUGGUGGACAGCCUCCCAGGCAGCUUUGCCCUGCCCUGCAGAGCAUCCCCAUGGGGGACUCCAGACCACUUGGCAACGCAAUCCUGAGGGUGCUCCUGGAUAGGCAUUAGCCCCAGUGGAACGCUUCACCAGAGCACAGCAAGGCAGGCCCCGUGGUGGAGCCCGGCAAAGGCUGAACACUGAGAAGGGACUGGCGCUUUGAAUCCAGACGGUCCGGACAUCAGAAAGAAACAUGGUGCAACUAUACGUUGCUAGGGAAGGUUGAAGGCGUUCCUGCGUGUUUCCAUCACAGCCGUGUGAAACCUGCAGCACCAGACACCUGGGAAAUAAAGCCAGAUCUCCGUAACCCGUGCAAGAUCACCUUACGGAGAGCCAAGACAGCAAGUCCUGCUCCAGUCACCCUGGAAGCUGACCGGUCUACGCACGGCUGAAGUGUGAAGACUUCCAGUGUGGGACAAACAUUCCUUUCUUCAAACUAUGGACUUGUGCCCGUACACAUCAGAUCACCAAGGUAGAAACAGGAGGACUGAUUUAAAUGUGAUUGAAUCCAAAGAACUGAAUCAGAGGAAGACCCUGCAGCCAGGUCAAUCCCUUUCCAAAGAGCUGUUUAAAUAAAAUGUAGUAGAGCCA